GGAGGAAGGUGGGGAUGACGUCAAGUCCUCAUGGCCCUUAUGGGUAGGGCUUCACACGUCAUACAAUGGUCGGUACAGAGGGUUGCCAACCCGCGAGGGGGAGCUAAUCCCACAAAGCCGAUCGUAGUCCGGAUCGCAGUCUGCAACUCGACUGCGUGAAGUCGGAAUCGCUAGUAAUCGUGGAUCAGCAUGUCACGGUGAAUACGUUCCCGGGUCUU
rnacentral:rRNA from 1 species